rnacentral:tRNA from 1 species
GCCGCGGUAGCUCAAUCGGUAGAGCUUCGCACGCGCAAUGCGGAGGUUGUGGGUUCGGUUCCCACCUGCGGCA